rnacentral:lncRNA from 10 species
UGCGGGGAGCGGGCGGCCGGAGGGGCAAGUUCAGUCCCGGGGCUGGCGGUUGGCGGGACCGGCUUUAGAGGUGAUGCGACCACCCUGGACCACGUGCAGCGGGGAGAAACUGGGCACCGUGGGGUGGAGGGAGCCCCCGCUUUAUCCUCGGCCACUCCCGAGUUCUUGUCCUCCCUCCCGCACGCCUGGCCCCCAGAGCCCUGCUCAAAGUUUGGAAAUGUCCUGGGGGUUGUAAAAGUUCCAAGAAAAGGUCAUCACUAUGUCAGAGAACCCUAUGGGACCUCGGAGGGGUCCCCUCUCUCCCUUGGUCUGUGUAGUUGAAAGUUGCCUGAUGAUCCAAGAACCGCAGUUCUCAGGAUGCAGUGCAGGCUGUUGGGAUGGAUGCUAAUGAUCCCUUUGGAAUCCUAAACUUCUGACAGGUGAAGAGAAGGGCCAGAAUCUUCGUGGAGAGUAAAGAGACACAUUGUCAGCUUCUGCAAGAAGUUGGUUUACUUGAAAAAGGGGGUGAUAAAGAGAGAUGUGUGUGAGACAUAUUCCAGAAAGGAUGUGUAGCAUCCAAAGAAAAGUGACUGCAUUUCCCCAUUGGAAAAGCACUGGGGUUUCCGUUGGGCUGGUGGCAUUGGCUAGCUGCCUCCUUGGGGCAGGGUGAGCAGGUUACAGAGGACCACGCUAAGGGGUUUCAACAGUGUACAGAACAUCAAAAGUCUGCCUUUCACUCCCAAUCUACUUUUAAGUACACAGAUGUUAUAGGUCCAUAAUAUCUUACCGGAAGAAGAGACUUUCUUAUCUGGUUCAACUCUAGAUUUGAAACUCCUCACCCAUAAUUUACUUGAAGGCUUAAAUAUCUCAAAGGACAGGGAACCUUCCAUUCUGUGUGGCUGUUCACUCCCUUUAUUGAUGAGCAACACUGCUGAAAAGCAUUUCCUUCUAUCUCUCUAUUGCUUUUGACUCCUGGAGUUUUACACAAUAAAUCUAAUCUCAC